UCAUCCAGUCUCCUCAGUUGAGCGGCAGAGUGGGGUCAUGCGGGCGGGCAGCGCAGUGCUGUUGGUGUUCCUGGCGUCCUUCCGUGGCUGCCUUUCCCAGUCCGUGCUCCAGUCCAAGCCAUCCAUGAUCAGAGGGGCAGGCAAAACGGCUCGCUUUCGCUGCGUCAUUAACACGGACAAUUUCGACAACACUGUUGUUCAUUGGUACCGAAACACCUUGAGCCUAGGCUUACAGCGCAUCCUCUAUAUCCAAGCAAACUCAGAGCCAGUCAGGGACAAGGGUUCACCCGACAGAUUCACAGCCGAGAACUUGGUAAAGGAAAAGGCGAGCCUGCUGGAUAUAAGAGACAUCGAGGAGGUGGACGCAGGGGCUUACUACUGUGCGGUCUGGGAGAGCACAGUGAGGCGGCGCCGCAGGAGCCCAGAACAAAUACCCCGCGCCCAGGCGACGCUGCAGAUUGACACACAGUGA